AGCGAACGCUGGCGGCAGGCUUAACACAUGCAAGUCGAGCGGGCACUUUCGGGUGUCAGCGGCGGACGGGUGCGUAACGCGUGGGAACGUGCCCUCUGGUUCGGAAUAACUCAGGGAAACUUGAGCUAAUACCGGAUACGCCCUUUUGGGGAAAGGCUUGCUGCCGGAGGAUCGGCCCGCGUCUGAUUAGCUAGUUGGUGAGGUAACGGCCCACCAAGGCGACGAUCAGUAGCUGGUCUGAGAGGAUGAUCAGCCACACUGGGACUGAGACACGGCCCAGACUCCUACGGGAGGCAGCAGUGGGGAAUAUUGGACAAUGGGCGCAAGCCUGAUCCAGCCAUGCCGCGUGAGUGAUGAAGGCCUUAGGGUUGUAAAGCUCUUUUAUCCGGGACGAUAAUGACGGUACCGGAGGAAUAAGCCCCGGCUAACUUCGUG
rnacentral:rRNA from 1 species